GUGAUGACUGGGAGGAUGACGAUGAUGACCGAGACCGAUCCCGUGUUCGACGAUGUUUCCUGUGCCAAAAGAGAAGCCAAUGUUGUCUGUGAGUCCCUCAAAAGAACCCUGGCUUGGUUCUUUUAGCACCAGCACCAGGACAGCUUGAUGAUAAAUUGUUAAAUGGAUGCACUUUUUUAAAAAAUUCACUUAAAGGACUAAAAUUCAUCACCAAGAAGAAUACUGAAAUGAAUGCUACAAGCUAAGCAGGCUAGUCUCAAAGGAUUCUAGAACUGUUAAGAAAAAUGCUGAAACAAGCUACCAUUGACAGAGCAAGCAUAUCCCCAAAGUGACUCCUUUGAAGGAAGACUACACUUUUUUGGAUUUGGCAAAGUUAUAAUUUAUUUCUUUCAAAAUUUAUUCUCCCCUCCCCCAUUAAAAAAAUUCAAUACCAUAACUUGUAUACAGUGAAGAACCUGUCUGGUUUUGAUUAGAAUCUCUACUGCACAGAAAAAUGGGGGGCAUACAUUAAAUAAACAUUUAUAGACAUUUACCCACCUAACAUCAUAAUUUCCACUGAGAAAACCUGGUGAAACGACUUUGAGAGGUUUAAUAUGGGAAGAAUAAUAUUCUAAAUGGGUGACUGACCAAGCAAUGUUACUAUAGGGUUAGGUUUUAAUAGAUUUAAUGUGGAAAAAGAGCUGAAGCAACCUUCUGAGGGAGUGUGGCUGUAUUAAGCUACUACUAGCAAUGAAAAUUCAUUCCUAGAUAGCUUGGAGAGUUUACACUUGGCACCAGCCUUGUAUCAAGCAGGACCCAAAUAGACCUGAAUGCCGACAUACUUCUGCUUUUUGGAGCCUUUGUGAGUUUUCUCAGUUUUUUCAGUUGAUCUCUCUCUUGAGUGGCUCGAGUCUCGGGAAUCCACUGAUUCUCUUGACUUAUCUCGUUU